rnacentral:tRNA from 1 species
GCGGACGUAGCUCAGUUGGUAGAGCGUCGGCUUCCCAAGCCGAAGGUCGUGGGUUCGAGACCCAUCGUCCGCU